rnacentral:rRNA from 1 species
AUUGAACGCUGGCGGCAUGCUUUACACAUGCGAGUCGAACGGCAGCACGGGGGCAGCCCUGGUGGCGAGUGGCGAACGGGUGAGUAAUACAUCGGAACGUGCCCGGUCGUGGGGGAUAACGUAGCGAAAGUUACGCUAAUACCGCAUACGAUCUGAGGAUGAAAGCGGGGGACCUUCGGGCCUCGCGCGAUCGGAGCGGCCGAUGUCAGAUUAGGUAGUUGGUGGGGUAAAGGCCUACCAAGCCGACGAUCUGUAGCUGGUCUGAGAGGACGACCAGCCACACUGGGACUGAGACACGGCCCAGACUCCUACGGGAGGCAGCAGUGGGGAAUUUUGGACAAUGGGCGCAAGCCUGAUCCAGCCAUGCCGCGUGCAGGACGAAGGCCUUCGGGUUGUAAACUGCUUUUGUACGGAACGAAAAGGCUCUGGCUAAUACCUGGGGCUCAUGACGGUACCGUAAGAAUAAGCACCGGCUAACUACGUG